GCCCACGUGGUGUAAUGGCGAGCGCACGCGUUGCGUAUUCGAAAGGUCCGAGGUUCGAGUCCCGGCGAGGGCA
rnacentral:tRNA from 1 species